CAGAAAUAAAGUUCGAAAGAGACGCCAUAUUGAAUCAGCUGAUUCUGGAGAAAGCCUGUCGUCUUCACCACACAGCAGUGAAACCCCUAUCCGAUACACGUUAACACAUGUUACACACAAACAGAAGUCACCAUUUCGUAGAUCUUCUUUAUGGAGGGAUUCAGUUUGGAGUCGGAAGGAUGUUAUGCAAAUUGAUCUAAACACAGAUUUAAGAUACUCUACGGGCUCAGAGGAAACAAUCCUUUCGUCGUUUGAUACUCAAUCUUCUAAUUCAUUUACAGGGAAACAUAACACAAGAUACUUACAACAAGGUUGUAAAAAACAGCAACAACAACAACAACAACAACAUCAACAACAUCAGCAGCAAGGAAAACCAUAAAAACAACAACACUAUCGCAAGCUAGCAGGAGUAACAUGGAUAAAAAAAAACAA